rnacentral:rRNA from 1 species
GAUGAACGCUGGCGGCGUGCCUAAUACAUGCAAGUCGAGCGAACGGACGAGAAGCUUUCUUUUCUGAUGUUAGCGGCGGACGGGUGAGUAACACGUGGAUAACCUACCUAUAAGACUGGGAUAACUUCGGGAAACCGGAGCUAAUACCGGAUAAUAUUUUGAACCGCAUGGUUCAAAAGUGAAAGACGGUCUUGCUGUCACUUAUAGAUGUAUCCGCGCUGCAUUAGCUAGUUGGUAAGGUAACGGCUUACCAAGGCAACGAUGCAUAGCCGACCUGAGAGGGUGAUCGGCCACACUAGAACUGAGACACGGACAAGACUCCUACGGGAGGCAGCAGUAGGGAAUCUUACGCAAUGGGCGAAAGCCUGACGGAGCAACGCCGCGUGAGUGAUGAAGGUCUUCGGAUCGUAAAACUCUGUUAUUAGGGAAGAACAUAUGUGUAAGUAACUGUGCACAUCUUGACGGUACCUAAUCAGAAAGCCACGGCUAACUACGUG